AGUAACCUGAAGUGCAGGAUAUCUUGAUAUUUUGAACCUACAUUUACUUUAAACGGGACUCCUAUAUUGCCCAAUGGAUGUCAGGCCUCCGUUUGCAGUGGAAGGCAGAAGUUGUGGUUGCGGUAACCCACCUAGCGGAUUGCUAGGAGUCAAAAUUCAGGAGCCCGCAUUUUGGGGAUAAC
rnacentral:other from 1 species